rnacentral:lncRNA from 1 species
GUGGUAUGAUUGCCAAUGAGACAACUGUCCACAAAAGACCAAAAUGACACAGACAUUAACAACUAUAGGUCAUUGUACGGCCUUCAACAAUGAGCAAAGCCCAUACCGCAUAGUCAGCUAUAAUAGACCCCGAUAAGACAAUGUAAAACAAUUCAAACGAGAAAACUAACGGCCUUAUUUAUGUAAAAAAAAUGAACGAAAAACAAA